GUUCCAACAGACCAUUUAGACUUAAAAAGUUAAUGUGUUCAUUCAUAGGCCAUCUUGUUCUGUUCACUUCUGCAGCUUUUAAAGGUCAACAUAGCUCUAAGUCUCUACACAGCUUUUGUUCAACAAGUUAAAACAAAAUAAAGUAAGAUAUUAGAAAUGGAUAACAGUAAAGACAAGAAAACGUGACAUGUCAGUAAGUCAAAUUGGAAAUAUUUCAUAUAAGAUUACUGUAUAUCUGAACUGCUCAGGGCACAACAUGCGAUUAUGAAGAUGUUGAGAUAUGAUUUCUAAACAACAGGUCUUAUAAACUUACUGUGUAUUGGGGACACAACAGGUCAUUAUAAACUUACUGUGUAUUGGGGACACAACAGGUUAUCAUAAACUAACUGUGUAUUGGGGACACAACAGGUCAUUAUAAACUUACUGUGUAUUGGGGACACAACAGGUCAUUAUAAACUUACUGUGUAUUGGGGACACAACAGGUCAUUAUAAACUUACUGUGUAUUAGGGACACAACAGGUCAUUAUAAACUUACUGUGUAUUGGGGACACAACAGGUCAUUAUAAACUUACUGUGUAUUGGGGACACAACAGGUCAUUAUAAACUUACUGUGUAUUGGGGACACAACAGGUCAUUAUAAACUUACUGUGUAUUGGGGACACAACAGGUCAUUAUAAACUUACUGUGUAUUGGGGACACAACAGGUCAUUAUAAACUUACUGUGUAUUGGGGACACAACAGGAAUCUACUGCACUUAAUUGGACGAGUCUAACUGAUAGAAUUGUAAAAUAUAUAGGUUUGUAGGUACUAUCUUUCAUGGUUUCAAGCUUUCUAGACAGUUUCAUGGGUAUAAACAAAUUCAUGUACACAUGUAGUAGUCUUGUAUUUCAACUUUGUUGUACAAUGUAUCUAUUUUUGUUGCUCUUUAUCAACCAGAAUACAUGUAUCACAAAUGUUCCUUAAUAUAUAACAGUUCAUGUUAUACUGUGUCACACAUACCCAGUCAGUCGCCAUAAUACCAUCUUCGCUAGCCAAGGGAUCUGAUUACGUUACACUCCACGAACCCUUGGAAGAUAUAGUCGUGUUCAAACCGUCACACCCUGGAAUCCCUGGGCAUCCAAUCAAAAUCGCAUUUUACAUUCAGGCUUGGUUUCGCAAUAAACAAAAAAUUGCGGCGCCCAGUAUAGAGCUACCAUGUGACCUAUGUCAUGGCAUUUUACCUAGAACAUUCACAGUGUUUUAUCAAUUGAUAGAAGUUAUUGAUCACAUAUCUCAUCAAAAUGACACAAUCCUCCAUGUGUGUUUGUAAACAUCAUCAAUGAAGUACAUCGGUAACGCUCGUUUUGAUUGGUUGAAAAUUACUUGCAUAAGGGUCGUAAUUUCGAAUCACCACUAGAGGGCCAGAACUGACGGCUAUAUCUGCCAAUGGUCCGUGGAUUAUAACGUAAUCAGAAGCCAUGGCUAGCGAAGAUACCUUAAUACAUAACAGUACAUGUUAUACUGUGUCACACAUACCCUGUCAGUCUCCUUAAUAUAUAACAGUACAUGUUAUACUGUGUCACACAUACCCUGUCAGUCUCCUUAAUAUAUAACAGUACAUGUUAUACUGUGUCACACAUACCCUGUCAGUCUCCUUAAUAUAUAACAGUACAUGUUAUACUGUGUCACACAUACCCUGUCAGUCUCCUUAAUA